rnacentral:rRNA from 1 species
AACGAACGCUGGCGGCAGGCCUAACACAUGCAAGUCGAGCGAGCAUUUCGGUGCUAGCGGCGGACGGGUGAGUAACGCGUGGGAACGUGCCCUUUUCUGCGGAAUAGUCCUGGGAAACUGGGGGUAAUACCGCAUACGCCCUUUCGGGGAAAGAUUUAUCGGAGCAGGAUCGGCCCGCGUUGGAUUAGGUAGUUGGUGGGGUAAUGGCCCACCAAGCCGACGAUCCAUAGCUGGUGUGAGAGGAUGAUCAGCCACACUGGGACUGAGACACGGCCCAGACUCCUACGGGAGGCAGCAGUGGGGAAUCUUAGACAAUGGGGGCAACCCUGAUCUAGCCAUGCCGCGUGAGUGAUGAAGGCCUUAGGGUUGUAAAGCUCUUUCAGCUGGGAAGAUAAUGACGGUACCAGCAGAAGAAGCCCCGGCUAACUCCGUG